UACGAAGGGGGCUAGCGUUGUUCGGAAUUACUGGGCGUAAAGCGCGCGUAGGCGGUUUUGUAAGUCGGGUGUGAAAUCCCCAAGCUUAACUUGGGAACUGCAUUCGAGACUGCAUAGCUAGAGUAUGGGAGAGGGAAGUGGAAUUUCAGGUGUAGCGGUGAAAUGCGUAGAUAUCUGAAGGAACAUCAGUGGCGAAAGCGACUUCCUGGACCAAUACUGACGCUCAUGUGCGAAAGCGUGGGGAGCAAACAGG
rnacentral:rRNA from 1 species